GUGUGAUUGGAUUAGGUGGUCUGGGUCACUUAGCAGUGAAGUUUGGAAAGGCUUUUGGAUUGUAUGUAACAGUAUUCAGUACAAGUAUAUCUAAGAGAGAAGAAGCUCUGAAGCUUCUUGGAGCUGACAAUUUUGUGGUCUCAUCGGACGAACAGCAGAUGAUGGCGCUGGGUAAGUCGUUUGACUUCAUGAUUAACACUGCUUCUGGAGAUAUUCCAUUUGAUCCUUACUUGUCGUUGUUAAAGACUGCUGGCAUUCUUGUUCUGGUUGGCUUCCCAACUGAAGUGAAAUUUAGUCCAGGAAACCUAGUUCUCGGUAUGAAGAGCAUCGUUGGGAGUGUAACCGGUGGAACAAAGCAUAC